rnacentral:rRNA from 1 species
GGGGAAUUUUCCCCAAUGGGGGAAACCCUGCGGGACCAAUCCCGCGUGAGGGAGGAGGGUUUUGGGGUUGUAACCCUUUUUUUUCAAGGAAUAAGAAUGAAGGUACUUGAGGAAUAAGCAUCGGCUAACUCCGUGCCAGCAGCCGCGGUAAUACGGAGGAUGCAAGCGUUAUCCGGAAUGAUUGGGCGUAAAGCGUCCGUAGGUGGUUUUGUGUGUCUGCUGUUAAAGCGUGCGGCUUAACCGCAUAAGGGCGGUGGAAACUACAAGACUAGAGUACGUUCGGGGCAGGGGGAAUUCCCAGUGUAGCGGUGAAAUGCCCUAGAUUGGGAAGAACACCGGUGGCGAAAGCGCCCUGCUAGGCGGUAACUAACAACGAGGGACGAAAGCUAGGGGAGCGAAAGGGAUUAGAUACCCCWGUAGUC